GAUGCACGCUAGCUACAGGCUUAACACAUGCAAGUCGAGGGACCGGCGCACGGGUGAGUAACACGUAUCCAACCUGCCCUUUACUCGGGGAUAGCCUUUCGAAAGAACGAUUAAUACCCGAUCGAAAGGAUGGGGAUGCGUUCGAUUAGGUUGUUGGUGAGGUAACGGCCCACCAAGCCUUCGAUGGUUAGGGGUGCUGAGAGGAAGGUCCCCCACAUUGGAACUGAGACACGGUCCAAACUCCUAGGGGAGGCAGCAGUGAGGAAGAUUGGUCAAUGGGCGGUAGCCUGAACCAGCCAAGUAGCGGGAAGGAUGAAGGAUUAUGGGUCGUAAACUUCUUUUAUAUAAGAAUAUGUAUUAUAUGAAUAAGGAUCGGCUAACUCCGUGCCAGCAGCCGCGGUAAUAC
rnacentral:rRNA from 1 species